rnacentral:rRNA from 1 species
GAUGAACGCUGGCGGCGUGCCUAAUACAUGCAAGUCGAGCGAACAGACGAGGCUCUUGCUCCUCUUACGUUAGCGGCGGACGGGUGAGUCACACGUAGCUAACCUACCUAUAAGACUGGGAUACCUUCGGGAACCCGGAGCUAAUACCGGAUAAUAUAUUGAACCGCAUGGUUCAAUAGUGCACGACGGUUUUGCUGUCACUUAUAGAUGGAUCCUGGCCGCAUUAGCUAGUUGGUAAGGUAACGGCUUACCAAGGCAACGAUGCGUAGCCGACCUGAGAGGGUGAUCGGCCACACUGGAACUGAGACACGGUCCAGACUCCUACGGGAGGCAGCAGUAGGGAAUAUUCGGCAAUGGGCGAAAGCCUGACGGAGCAACGCCGCGUGAGUGAUGAAGGUCUUCGGAUCGUAAAGCUCUGUUAGUAGGGAAGAACAAAUGUGUAAGUAACUAUGCACGUCUUGACGGUACCAAAUCAGAAAGCCACGGCUAACUACGUG